UACAGAGGUCCCGAGCGUUGUUCGGAUUUACUGGGCGUAAAGGGUGCGUAGGCGGCAGGGUAAGUUUGAGGUGAAAGCUCCGGGCUCAACCCGGAAACGGCCUUGAAAACUAUCCUGCUAGAGGUUUGGAGGGGAGACUGGAAUUCUCGGUGUAGCAGUGAAAUGCGUAGAUAUCGAGAGGAACACCAGUGGCGAAGGCGAAUCUCUGGACAACACCUGACGCUGAGGCACGAAAGCCAGGGGAGCAAACGGG
rnacentral:rRNA from 1 species